rnacentral:rRNA from 1 species
UACGUAGGUGACAAGCGUUGUCCGGAUUUACUGGGCGUAAAGAGCGCGCAGGCGGUCGAUCAAGUCGAGUGUGAAAGCCCCCGGCUCAACUGGGGAGGGUCAUUCGAUACUGAUCGACUCGAAGGCAGGAGAGGGUAGUGGAAUUCCCGGUGUAGUGGUGAAAUGCGUAGAUAUCGGGAGGAACACCAGUGGCGAAGGCGGGUCUCUGGGCAACAACUGACGCUGAGGAGCGAAAGCGUGGGGAGCGAACAGG